rnacentral:lncRNA from 1 species
AAAGGAUACAUUUUUUUUUAUAUUUAGAAAUACAAUGACCUAGAGUGACUAAUAAUAAACUCGUGAUAGUACAUUUAAAUGUGUAAUACAUUGUAUUUGUUUCCUUCCGGUAAGAAUCUGUGCCACGGCCUCACUCAUAUGGAAAUAAAUAAAAAACAUUGUGUUUUGUGGACUUAAAUAACUACUAUUCUUUUUAUGAAUAAAAGAAGGGAUAUCGAAUGAUAUGGCAAAUUUCCUCAUAUUUUAUGUGUUAAUGUUUUCGUUGACUGGAUUUAUCUUUUCAAAGUCCAUCUCUUACGGGGAGCUAGGAAACCAGGAUGUUUUCGUCGAAAUAGAAGAUAAUGAAAAACUGGAAAAGAAUAAAGAUUAUUUUCGGCAAAAGAGAGCUGCUUCGCAAGGGAUACCGCGGAACUUGGCCCGUUUAGAAAUGUGCAUACGGCAGCCAUCCCGAUGUUGGAGGCUGUUCCAGACGUCUACACCGAGGGUCAUUGUGCGGUUGAUUAGCUCGUAAUCUACAAGCAUCACGUGACUCCACUGACUUAUGACGUAAUCACCAUCUGACCAGAAAGUCAACACAGUGUACAGUCGGAUGUUGAAUACAUGAUAUGUCAUAAAAUUGAUUGUAAAUAACCUGAUAUAUUUUUAUUAUCAUUAAUACCUCUAAAGAUGUUUCCUGUAAUCUGGUGAAUAUCAGUUUUAGCAAUACAUUUUUAUUUACAUUUGAUUAGUGAGUGGUUGUUAUAUAAAAGUUUAUUGAAAACUCUUAUUUCAUUUAUCCAUUAUGUAAUUGUUAAGCAUUGAUAAAACAAAAAAGUACAGACAUGCAGCUAGGCUGGUACAAGCUUUAAGCCAUGGCGUUCUAGGUUGGAACUUAAAUUGCAUAUGUUUAUAUGAUCGAGGCUUCUACCCAGGAUUAUAUUCAUUUUUCAAGGGGUGAACAGUUUUCAUACCUCUCAGGAUUCCAGCACCGCAAACGUAAAAAUGGUCUAAAAUCAUAAUCACAUUACAAAGUUGAAACCACAAUGUCUGUACACAUCAAUUUAAUUAAAUUCUAAAGACAUAUUUGUAGGUUUUUUUCCCUAUUGCAUUUUCCUUGUUGGUACGCUUGGAAAGAACUGCAUGCUCGUACGAGGGGUGUUCAAUAAAAUAUUUAAUACGUACACUGGCUCAACAGCUUUGUUCCUAUUUUGUGCAAUUUAGGGUAACUGAUACCAUUAUAACAAGAAACAUAUUAUUAGACCAGAAUGACGUCACAUAGUACACAAUUAGAGGAUUUCAUUAGCUCAUAUGGUAACGCGCUUGCGACCAGGUUGAAUUUUGGUGGCUUAGAUGUAAAACCAUCCAUAACUGUGAAUAAAAUUACAAACAGUCAUGCAGUAGAAAAUCACACCAGCUCCGUAAAUAUAAUUUAUAACACUUAAAAUUUAACGACGGUCCGAUUUUUUAUAUACAUUGUAGAAAUAAGAAGGACAAGUACACGUUUUACUUCAUAACAAAAAUACUAAAAAUAAGAAUCCUUAGGUGCAAGAAGUUUAUCCAGUUUCAACAUUUUAUUCAUCAAAUGCUAUUUUUGAAAUAAAUUUUAUCAUUAAUUUUCGAUUGACCCACGCCAUGAUUUAUAAUGCCAUCAUUUCUUCAUUUUCCCUCCUUUAUUUUCUAUAUUAAAUGUGUAAAAUGUCAUACAUGCGUUUAUUUAAGGCACUUUGUGUAUGAAACCAUUGAUAUGAAACCUUAGGUGCAAGCCAUUUCUUAUUUUAAAUUGAUAUAUCUUUUGAAUGAUAUAUAUGAAUGUCAUUCUUUUAAUAAACUCCAUGAGUUUUUUUUUUUACUUUAAAAGUCUUUAUUCGUUUGCAUACUUUAAAGUAAAUCAAAAUGAGCUAUGAUAUGUUAUGUUGAGUGAAAUAGGCUUAUAACAACACGAUUAGGUUUUUUUGAAACAGUUAACGGAAGCACAUAAUAAGGUUUUUUUUUCACAUUAAUUAUUUUGAAUGAUUUCUCAGUAAUAAAUGUUACUACAGUAAUAACUUUUUCCUCUUGGCGGAUGUGACUGAGUGUGUACUUCCUAGUGUAAAUCUAAGUUUCAGAAAACUGGUGGGGUGGCUAAAAUGUUUUUCAGGGAAAACGAUAUUUACAAACGUUAUAUUCGUGGGUUUUGUGUAAACUGUCUUGAACACUGGCGAAUUUACAUGUCUUUUUUUAAUUCACAAAUAUUUUAAUUAUUUUUAUCUAAAGACAAAUUUAUGGUAGAUUUAAGGCUAAAUGUCGUUCCAGGAAUGGCUUGAAUUGUCCCGUGAAGGUACAUAUAUAUAUAUAUAUAUAUAUAUAUACAGAGAAAAGUUUCAACAAUAUACUAUAUAUAUAAUAAUUAUCCGCUUUCUGUCGGUUUUCCAACCAUGUAUUUGGUGAAUUCGUCUCGGAUGAACGCAAAGUUUACAUUACUCACGUACGACAACGAUACAUUAUUCUCCGUCUGUACCGCUUUCCUGUCACCGGAAGCACACGACUCUAUGCGGAUACUCGAAUAAUGGUUAUUAUUAUUUCGCUCUUUAAUUCAUAAUGCCAAUAUUAAACGCACUGAAUUUAUAUGAUACACACUUUGUUCUAUGCCUGUUAGAUUAAGUAUGAUAGUUUGAUUAUGCCAAAAAUUGUUUGUUGAAGGAGCUAGAACUACUUUUAAGCACUACAUUGUUAGACUUUUGCAUUGGUUUUUGAAAGUCUGUAUAAGUUUAUGUUAGCACUAAGGCGGAUCCUGCGCACCAAAAAAAAAACAACAACAACAACAAAAAAAACCCGGAGAUUUCAAAUUGCCUCACAUUUCAAGGAAAAGUUUAUAUCCGGAUCUCCGCUGUAAUCAUGGGCAAAUAUCUCAAAAACAUACUCAAGGCCAGGUUAUAGAUCAUAUGUAAAAGUUCGAGAUACAUCCGGCAGUCUCUAGCAUUACUGUUUCCAGAUAAACUCAAGUAACAUAAAAUUAUCGUUCAUACAAAAUGAUAUAUAGUUGUAAAACUAUUUCAGAGAUUUAUCGUUAAUUAAUACAUUUUUAUACAUUGAUUUUUCUGCUUGGUAAUUUGUGUAAUUUAUGCAAAAAAGAAAAAAAGAAAAUUAUACUUUUGUGGAUGCUUCCCGCCAAAAAUCAUUGAGGCGACUGCCUCGGUGUGCCUAAUCGUAGUUCAACUACUGACAAAGUAUUAUAUUUAACAUUAUUAUACCUUAAUUCAUGUUGUUAAAAUGUAUAUGUGUUAAAGGUAUCCGAUCCACAAAUAUAUAAUAUUUCGAUGCCUGGUGAACCCAUGUUGUUGUUUUUUGGUUUCAUUUGAAAGAGUUGUGUCAGCUAAAUAUGAAUUAGUAAAUAAGAUGACCGUAUAUAAUAUGCAAGAGUUAUAAUUUUGACUGCGAAAUGAUAAUUCUUACACUGUAAUAAUUGCAAUACUGUUGAAGUAUUAUUGAAGACUAUAAAGUAAAUUUUUAUUUUAAAAAUCUGUAAUAUAUUUUGUCGUAUAAUUCAUACUUCUUUUUCAGUAGAUUAUACACUUUCAAAUGAUACUAAAUUAUAUUAGCUUACCAGGCAUCAUUUUUGAAUAUUUCAACCUUUAGCCUGCUAAAUUUCUAAAAUGAACUGGAUUAUUAUUCAAUUUGGGCUGUACCAUUUAUUAUUUGAAGGGGUGUUCAUUGAAAUUUGUUUACCGGGUAGCGAACAGAGCAGGCUGAUUUUGGUCUGCACUGGUCGCAAUGGCAGAAUCACUCACCGCCAGCAGGCUAUAGGUUAUAGAACUUGCUUAUUUGUGGAUCGGAUAACUAAUUAUCAUUUUGUAAAUGGAAUUAAUCUGUUUUCUCAUAUGCAUUUGGCGGUUCAUGUAUGUUUCUUUACAGUUUCCCGCUAUUGCGAGACUUAUGCAUUUGUUUAAUAAAUCUUGAAAUCUU